CCCUUAGAUGUCCUGGGCCGCACGCGCGCCACACUGAGUGUCUGAGAUACGAGUCUGCCUGGUCCGGCAAGGUCUAGGUAAUCGCUAAAAGACACAUCAUGCUUGGGAUAGAUUAUUGCAAAUAUUAAUCUUGAACGAGGAAUUCCUAGUAAGCGCAAGUCAACAGCUUGCGUUGAUUACGUCCCUGCCCUUUGUACACACCGCCCGUCGCUACUACUGAUUGGAUGUUUAAGCGAGGUUCUCGAACUGCUAGCGACUUAGCUUCGGUGAGGUCGCAGUGUGGGAAGUGAACCGAGCUUUGGUGUCUAGAGGAAGUAAAAGUCGUAACA
rnacentral:rRNA from 1 species